UGAAAUUCCUUUUGUAAAUUUUCUAGUACACCGACGAACUGAUUCUACUUCAUUAUCGACGGAUUAUCCUUGUCCACGUACUUGACCACGCUUACGUCCUUCUUCACGUACCAUUUCUGAAAAAAAUCAUAGCAUAAAUCUAUUAACUAUAACAAUAAAAAAUCAUAACAUUUUGAACUAACUUACAAUCAUACUAAAAUCCUUUUCGUCACUUAUAAAUUCAUUAUCGGAUUCGAUAUCUACAUUAUCUAAUUCAAUAUCGUUGUCGACAUUUGUUUCUUCAAAAACAUCAUUUACACUUAAAGAUACAUCAUCAAUCGUGUUAUCGUUGUUUGCAUUCACAUCAAAUUCAUUAAAAUCAUCUUGAUGUGUAUCUAAAUCUUUUUCUGAAACGUCAAUGAAUCUCGAGCUUUUGUUUUAAGCACCGUAUAUUAAUCGAUUGAUUUUCCGGAUACAUUCGAUAUAUAACAAACUUGCCCAGAUUGCCAAGAAUAAAUGAACGGCUCAUAUGUUUUUUGUUUAGAAUGUGUGUCGAUUGACACUGUUUUGAACUUAUCUAUUUUGAUUUCUUUGUAAAUAUCAUACCAAAUACAGUUAAACAUCGAAACUCUAGUAUCAUCGCCUAGAAAUUCAAAUUCGAGAAUUUCUUGAAGAACUCUAUAAAAUUAUUUUUAUCAUCUCCAUAAGAACAAGUCCCACGAACCAUGACAUCAUAGUUUUGUGACGUUUUGCUUCUGUCUUCAUUUUGUACAUGAAAUCUAAAUUCAUUGAUAAUAUAUUUCUUAUAACAUGUAACUUCUUUAUGAGGACCUUUUAAAAGAAUAUGCAAUCGUUGAUCUUGUUGACCAUGCUUCAUGCGAUCUAUGAACCAUUUAUGAAAAAGAGAAUCAGUUUUUCUCUGCAAUUCCUAAUCGGAAAUGUUUACAUUUUCCUGAAUCAAUUCUUCCUCGAAUUCUUUUAAAAAUCGUACUACUUCAUUGCAAUUGAAAAACACAUAAAUCAUUAUAGCAUUAUAUUCUUUAUCAGAUAUAUAUCUACGAACACUUCCUCCUAAAGCACGACCUGAUUGAGUAAAUAUUGACAAACGACCACCAGAUUCGAUUUCUCCACCAUCAAAAUUCUUUGAUUUUCUACUGAAUUUUGAUAUGAACGUACUAUUGAAGUAUAUCGAGAAAAAUGUCCCUAGUUCUUUAGCAAUAUAAGCCUCUGCAAUAGACCCUUCAACGUAUGCCUUAUUACGAACUUUCUUUUUCAAGAAAAACAUAAAUCUGUAAAUAGAAAUUAUAAUUAUAUCGUAUACAUAUAUAAUUUGCAAUAUUGAUUGUUCGCAAAAGAGAAUUACCCUUCAUAAGGGUAAAUCCACCUAUAUUGCACUGGUCCCCCAACUUCAGCCUCAUAUGGAAGAUGGAACAACAAAUGCUCCAUUGAAUCAAAAAAAGGUGGAAAUAUCUUUUCCAAUCUACAUAUCGUCUCUACAAUUGAUUCCCCAAGUUUCUUCAUUUCAUUUUCUUUAAGUGUCAUGGCCGGGGAACAUAUGUUGUUGAAGAAACGACUAACUUCGAUAAAUAAGUUAGUAAAUUCUUUUGGUAAAAAAUUAUCAAAAGCGAUAGGCAAUAAUCUCUGCAUGAAUACGUGAUAAUCAUGACUUUUCAUUCCCGUGAUAGUAUUUUCAUUGAUUUUGACACAUUUAGAGAUGUUUGACACAUUUAGAGAUGUUUGACACAUGACCAUCGGGAAAACGAAGUAGAAACACUCAUUCACACAUUUUCUUUAUUUGAAGUUUUUCCAAAACAUACGAUGCUUUAGGAACAACUAUUUUAUCUCCAACCUCUCGAGGGUAUAAGUCAUGUCGAAUAUCUAAUUCUAUAAGGUCUUUGCGGUCUUUGGUUUUCAUCUUCACAUUCAUUACUGUAUUGAAGAUAUUAUCAAAAACAUUUUUCUCAACAUGCAUUACAUCAAUAUUGCGACGAAAAAGUAAUGAACUCGAAUACGGCAAUUCGAAAAAAAUACUUCUUUUCGUCCAAUUGUGUGUCUUUCAAAAUUUGUCAAUUUUCUUUUAUCAUUACUUCCUUCAAAAAACACAUCAUCUUAAAGGCAAACAUAAUUCUAUUUUUUUUCCAUCAAUACGUUCAAUUGCUGCGUCUUUCUCAAAUCUCUUUAAAAAUUUAUUUCUUUGUCGUCGAAAUAAAUGAUAUUCGGGAAGAAACCGACGGUGACAAUAAAAAAACAAGGGUUUCCACUAUUUGUCAAAUAAAAUGAUUUAGUCUUUUCCAUACAAUAUGGACAUGAUAACUUCCCAUGCGUACUCCAACCAGACAAUUGCAUAAGCUGAAAAAUCAGAAAUAAUCCAUAAAAGUGAUGCUCUCAUUGUAAAAUUUGUCUUACUAAAGGCAUCAUACGUUUCGAUAUCUUCAAGCCAUAAUAGUUUAAGCUCAUCAAUCAAUGGUUUCAAAUAAACGUCAAUUUCUUUUUUUGGACCAUUAGGACCGGGAAUCAACAUAUAUAAGAACAUAAAUUGUUAUUUGUUACACAUCCACAGAGGAAGGUUGUACGGCGUAAUGAUCACUGACCACAAAGAGUAUUGUGAUAAAAAAUGACCGAAAGGAUUGAAUCCAUCUGUAGAAAAACCAAGCCUCACAUUUCGACCAUCAGAUGCAAAUCUAGGAUGAAUACUAUCGAAAUGCUUCCAAACUUUGCCAUCAGACGGAUGUCGUAACUUAUUAGGGACAUUUUGACGUCGUGUACUGUGCCAUACCAUAACUGAAAUAUCAUGACCACUUCUUGUCCGUGUCUUAAACUUUGGUUCAUGGCAUGUCGGGCAUUCAGUUAACUCUUUAUAUUCUUUUCGAUACAAUAUACAAUUGUUCGUGCAUGCAUCUAUUUUUUCAUGUUUCAAACCAAGGUUUUUCAAUUUUUGUUUGGCCUUAUAAAACGUAUCUGAAAGUUUGUUAGGUUUUGGUAUGAUCUUUUAAAUAGUUUUCAUCAAUGUAUCGUAGCCUUCCACAGAUAGUUCAUAGGUUGAUUUAAGAUACAUUAAUUCUGUCAAGAUCUCCAAAACAGAUGCAUCGCAACCCUCAUAUACUUUCGCAUAACCAUAAUUUAGCAAAUCGUAAAAAUUUUGUGCUUUAUCAUUCAGUUCUUCAUCAUGUAAAUCAAAUGGUCUACUUGCAUCGUGAACCAUGUCGACAAAUGGAUUAGUGUUAAUACGUUCAGCAUCGACCAUUUCAACAUCAUCUAUAGUAAUGCAUUCAUCUACACGUGCUAUUUUUCUUGGUUCUCCAUGUUUGUCCCAAUUAGUGUAAUCACUCAUAAAACCGAACUUGUAAAGAUGAACUGACAUUAUAUCUCUAACUUCCUAAUUUAAACAACAACAACUACUACAAGGGCAUUUAAUUUUUCCGUCUUCACGAGUCGUAAUUGACUAUGAGAAUGCAAAGUUUAGAAAUCGCUCAACACUAUUGAGAAAUGAAUCGGUAAUUUGAUUUUUCUCAUCUAGUCGGUUGUACAUCCAAUUUCGAUCAUUGCAGGUCAUUCUAUAAAAUACAAGGAGAAAUCCGAUCAACUUUUAUAUCGGAUGUACUUAGACGAUAAAAAUAAUUGAAACAUGCAAAAAAGAGUUGCAUGUAUAAUCUAAGAUACUAAUUCAUGACGAUCUAAAUUUUGUCAUGACUUUAUUGAAUUUUAGAUUACACGCUAUAUCAUCGAUCUUUUGAUCCAAUAAAAAUAUAUCAUGAAAAAUAAAAACACCAUGUAUAAGAAAUAUAAACAAAUCAAAUAGAAAACAUGUAUCUUCAGGUUUUUUUACGAUCAACAUAAUCAAUUUGUAUAUUUUAUAAUUUUAAAAGCAUCAAUUUUAAAAUUAUGUCUAGGUUAAAACAAUAAGCAAACAAACACCAUGAGAUAGAGAAGUAUCAAAAAUCAAGUGAAGAAAUUAAUCAAGUAAAUCACAUCAUAAAAAUGAUCUGAAUAUAAGAUUAAGAUCAAAUAAUGAACUAAAAACGUACAUAUGAAAUAAGCUACUCAGGAGGAGACGAUGCAAAAUCUGAAGAAAAAAAAGAUUAAUACACUAACAUAAGCAAAUAGAUAUAAGAUCUAAAAAUAAGGAAAAUAUAAAAUAUGUAAAAUUUAAUCUAAAAAUUGUAGAAUCAAAAUUUUCGACAUAGGAUUAUAUUUUAAUCAUGUCAAUUUAAACCCUAAUUACACUAUUAAUCAAUAGGAGUUAAAUAAGUCAAUCGAUAUUAAACCUAACUCCAGUUAAUUAAUUAAUCAUUUGAGUUAAGGGUUUAAGUCAAAGUUAAAAGUCAAAUUGGGAGAAUUACAUUUUCACCUUGAAUAUUAUUAUUUGAAAUAAUUGCAUUUUUACCUUGAAUAUUAAUAUUAUUAUCUUUUGACACUUUAUUCAAGGUAUAAUAUUCCAAGGGGACAAAACACUAUUCAAGUUUGAAUUUAUACAAAGAUAAGAUUCUCCAACAAACUCUAUCCAAGAAAAGCACUAUUUAAGAUAAGAUCAAAGACAAAUCNNNNNNNNNNNNNNNNNNNNNNNNNNNNNNNNNNNNNNNNNNNNNNNNNNNNNNNNNNNNNNNNNNNNNNNNNNNNNNNNNNNNNNNNNNNNNNNNNNNNNNNNNNNNNNNNNNNNNNNNNNNNNNNNNNNNNNNNNNNNNNNNNNCCACACGUUUUUGCCUCCAAGCUUCCAAGCUUUCAAGUGCUCAAGUGUCCUAGCUUUCCAAAGCUUCAAAAGCUCUCCAACUUCUUCUUCUAAUCUUCUUGUUCAUCUUUACAAGUAAGAAGUGUUGUUUGCUUUAAUAUUCCACUCCUCUAAUCACCUCUUGUGUGUGUCCACUUUGGUUGAGAGGGUUGUCUCAACAGUACCAAAGUGUGAGAGAAGGUUUGUGAGCUCAACCAUAAAGCUCUAGUUUGGUUUUAUAGAGUUUCCGGGAAAACUCUUAGGUCGAGUCUACCUUGAAAGAUUUCAGAGGUUUUUAAGAGUUCCUUGAUACUCUAAGGUACUAACUUAUCCGCAAAAGUUAGAGGUUCUUAAGAGUGCCCUUGAUACUCUAAGGUGUGAGUCUACCCUUAAAAAACUGGUUCCUAAACGAAGUAGCCUUAAAGCUUAGAGAGGCUUUUAAGAGUUCCUUGAUACUCUAAGGUACUAACUUACCCGCAAAAGUUAGAGAUUCUUAAGAGUGCCCUUGAUACUCUAAGGUGUGAGAAUAUCCGUAAAAGACUGGUUCCUAAACGAAGUAGCCUUAAAGCUUAGAGAGGUUCUUAAGAGUUUCCUUGAUACUCUAAGGUUUUGCCAUAACCUUUAGGCGAGUGAAUUCCGGCAGUUGGUCGGGACUGGACUAACCCUUGUUUGGGUGAACCAGUAUAAAUCUCUUGUGUUGUUCUCUGUUAAUUAUAGUUUUAUCUCUUAUCUAAAAACAACACUUAAUUAAAAAGGAUCCCUCUUCCAGUUAUCUGGUCAAAUACAGAAGUUGACUACUUUACGCAGAUCCCUCAUCCAGUUAUCUGAUCAACCAUCUGAGGUUAUAUUCAUUAUUUUAAAUCCUUAUAUUUGUUCAAGUAUUACUUAUCAUAUAUAUCCAGUUAUCUGAUCAUUUACUUGCUUAUCAAUAUAUCCAGUUAUCUGGUCAUUUACUCUACAAUACAAUUUGUGUUUACAAUAUAACUUAGUAUUCAUAUACUAUAAUUGUGUGUAAAACACUAUCCAACAAGUUGACUCAGUAUUCAUAUACUGUGGUAAGCUUCGAAGAGUAAUAAUUACAUUAUUAUAUCAAUCAAAGUUAUAAUAUCUUUAUAUCAUUAUUGUUCAACCAUUUGUUUAUUAAGCAUUUACAGGUAAUUCCGCAAUCAACCUGUAUAAAUCGAAAAGAGACUAUUAUCCCCCCUUAUAGCCUCGGAUCUCGAUCCAACAAGUGGUAUCAGAGCCAAGUUCCGUUGAAGUCAGACUAACAUCUUACAACAACAACUAUGACUUCAAAUGGUGAAAACAGUACUGGUCUUGCAUCGAACAAACCUCCUAGGUUCGAUGGAGUAAAGUAUGACUUCUGGAAAAACAAGAUGAAGUUAUACUUAAAGUCAAUCAACAAUGGAGUCUAGAAAAUCAUAUUGGAAGAUUAUGAGAUUCCAACAAGCAAAGAAGAGACUUGGGGAGCAAUGAAUAUUCUCAAGGAAAACAACAACUCAAGAGCAUUGAAUGCACUAUAUGGUGCCCUCAAUGAAUCUGAGUAUAGCAGAAUUCGAUGCUUGGAUACAGCUCACAAGGUAUGGAAAGCUUUGGAGGACCUACAUGAAGGAACCUCCCACGUCAAGGAAAACAAGCUACUAAAUGCCACUUCUCAAUUCGAAAGAUUCUCUAUGAGGGAAGAUGAGACUAUCGCGGAAAUGAAUAUUCGACUAUCAGAAAUAGUCAACGAUCUGGCUGGACUAGGAGAUCCAGUAACUGAGAAAAAGCAAGUGAGCAAGAUUCUAAGGAGCCUUCCAAACAAAUACUACUCAAAAAGGAAUGCUAUCCAAGAAUCUUAUGAUCUGAAUAAACUCACAGUGGUAGAACUUUGCGGAAAUCUGAUGGCCUAUGAAGAAGAAAGAUUUAUCUCUAGAGCAAAAGAAGAGAAAAAGGACAUUGAUCUCAAAAGUCAAUCCGAUAACGAAGCAUCUGAUGAUGACUUGGCAAUGAUCACAAAUCAUUUAAAGAGAUAUCUCAUAAAAAGGAAAGAAAAGAGAAAUUCAAAGUUAGACUAUCAGAAUUCCGACAGAAAAGUGAGUAAAAACCACAAAGACUCAAAGGAGCCCAUCUGCUAUUUGUGCGACAAAUCUGGACACAUCAGACCUGAAUGUCCUCUGCUAAAGAAAGAAAAAGCACAUCAAGUACACUAGUCAGAUUCUGAGUCAGAUCAAGAAGACUGCCUUAUGGCUCAUGAGAACGACUCUGAGGUAAACUUUACAAAUACUAGAUUUAAUUCAUUAGAAGAAGCAUAUCUAGAAUUAAUGAAUAAAUAUAAAGCUGAAAAAAAAUUAAGUAAAUCAUUAAGACUAGAAUGCAUGAAUAGAUCACAUAUUGAUCAUUCAAUAGAAUUAGAAGAAUCACAAAAAGAAUGCAUGUUAUUAAAAGAAGAAAAUCAUAAACUCUCAAGUAAAAUAAAAAAGGGAGAUGAAAAAAUUAAAAUACUUAAGAGUCAAAAUUUUGAAUUACUCGAUAUUCUAGAAUCUGAAGAAAAUCAACCUAAGGAAAUAAAUGAUGAUAGGGUUGAAUUGUUAGAAUUAAAAAUAGAUAAUUUUGAGAAAAUCGUUAGAAAUAAAGAAAAAGAAACAAUCAUGCUUAAAACUGAAAUAGAAUUUAAGGAUAAACUCAUACUUGAGCAUGAAGAAACUUUACAAAAAUUAUCUGAAAAACAUAACAGCAUGCAAUUACAAACUGAAAGAAUAAAUGAGAAAAAUAAUGUUCUUCAAAAAUUCUUAAAUAGUUCAUCCAAGUUAAAUAACAUGUUGCAAGGUUCAAACUUGGGUCAAAAGAAAUUUGGCUUAGGGUUUGAGUCAGAUGCACCUAUUAACAAAACCUUAAAUGCCAUAACUUAUAAUGAUCAUUUUGUAAGGGAAUCUAGUUAUACAAAACCUUUACAUGCUUCAAUGUAUAAUGAUUAUUCUAGCUAUACAAAACUCAUUCAUCUUAAGAAAAAGAAAAAUCAUUCUAAGAUGAAUCAUCCAAAACAAAGAUGGAUGACUAAAGAUGAGUUAAGAAGUUAUAAGCAGAUUAAGUAUGUUAAUUCAUCCGGACCCAACUCAGUAUAGGUACCAAAGGAUUUUUCAACUUUUUCAGGAAAAGCAUGUGUCAAAAUGGAUGUUCGACAGCGGAUGCACAAGACACAUGACUGGGGAAUCAAGUCUACUAACAGACUUGGUAGACUUACCUACUAGUAAAAAGGUCAAGUUCGCCGAUAACAACGAAGGUACAAUAGCAGGUAGGGGGUAAUGUAGGAAAUACCGAAAAAUCAUUCUUAAGAAAUGUGUACUUAGUAAUUGGUCUAAAACACAACCUGAUUAGCAUAAGUCAAUUAUGUGAUAUUGGUUGUGUAGUAAAAUUUGAAAAAUAUAAUUGUUUUAUCACUAACUCUGAGGGAGUUAUUAUUGCCAGAGGAUAUAGAAAAAACAAUGCUUAUUCUAUAAAUUUUGAUAAGUCUAAUCCAACUCGUGACUUCUGCAUGCAUGCUGCAAGCGAUGAGAAAGUUUUAUGGCAUAGACGAUUAGGUCACACCAGCUACUCAAAACUAUCUAAAUUAUCUAAAGAAGAAUUAGUAACUGGGUUGCCUAAAAUAGCUUAUGAGAAAAGUAAUAUCUGUGAUAUUUGUCAAAAAGGAAAGCAACACAAAAGCCCGUUUAAAUCCCUCACAGAAAUAACCACUUCUAGACCCUUAGAGCUUCUUCACAUGGACUUAUUUGGGCCAACCCAAACCCAAAGUCUUGGAGGAAAAAGGUUCACCUAUGUAAUCAUUGAUGAUUAUUCUCGCUAUACAUGGGUGUUCUUUCUAAGAAACAAAAGUGAAACCUUUGGUGAAUUCUCUAAAUUUUGUACCCUAGUACAGAAUGAAAAAGGUUCAUCUAUCAUAAAAAUCAGAAGUGGUCGUAGAGGAGAAUUUGAAAACUCUGACUUUAAAGAGUACUGUAUAUCCAAUGGGAUAAAGCAUGAAUUUGCUUUUCCUCAAGCUCCACCUCAAAAUGGAAUAGUAGAAAGAAAAAAUCUUACUCUUCAAGAAAUGAGUAGGUCUAUGUUACAAGAACAUGACUCCCCUCAAUAUCUAUGGGCAGAAGCUAUAAGCACUGCAUGUUACACUCUCAAUAAGGUAAUCAUUAGAAAAACCUUAAACAAAACUCCCUAUGAACUUUGGAAUAACAGAAAACCCAAAGUUUCAUUCUUUAAAGUAUUUGAGAGUAAAUGCUAUGUUCUCACAACAAGGGGAAACCAAGAUAAAUUAGCACAAAAAUCUGAUGAAGGAAUCUUGGUUGGAUACUCAAAAAGGAGCAAGGCAUAUAGAGUCCUUCUCAAAGAAAGACAAACAUUGAUAGAAUCCCUACACGUUGACUUUGAUGAGUCCAUCUCUGUUCCAAACACAGAAGAAGGAGGAAUUGAAGUCACUCAACAAGUACCAUCUGACACUCCUAUAGAAAAAGAUGAUCAAGAAACAAUCAUCUCUGAACUUCUAUCAAAUAGGAAUUUUAGAAACCCAUACUCUGUAGAACAAAUUAUUGGAGAUCAACACACUGGCGUACAGACAAGAUCAUCUACGUAACUAUGUCCUAGAUUGCUUUGUAUCUCAAAUAAAGCUUAAGUAGAUCUAUGUGCAUAUAUAUAUGAACUUAAUAUAAUCUAUCAAAUAUUUAUAUGCGUACUUUUACUAUGAUUAUUCAUAUACUAAGUUCUGUACACACAUAGCUAAAUGCAUGCCUAUCAUAUAUGACAAUCACGUUAAUGCAUUUCAUGCUACUAAAAGUUCCAUGAUCUAAAACAACUAUCUGAUAAAUGCAUGCUUUACAUGCUUGAUUCAUGCAUACAGUCGUCAACUUAUUUAUGAAACUAAUCCUAUACAUGCCUGUUUUACGUAUUACAAAACAUCUGCAUGCUUAAAAUCAUUUGAUAAAUACAUAUAGUAUGCAUGCAAAGUAAAAUGAGUCUACCUACAUAUGAGAUGUACAAUACAUGCAUGAAAACUUCAAAACAACUCAUUACAUGUCACGAUUAUGCAUGCAAGAUUAACACCUGAUUAUAAAAAUAUAAUACAAUCUAUGCAUGAAUAUUCAAAGGAUCGGUGACUCAUGCCAUGUUGCUUGUAUUAUAAAUCUUAUACAUAUACAAAGAUAAGAUUCUCCAACAAACUUUAUCCAAGAAAAACACUAUUCAAGAUAAGAUCAAAGACAAAGCUUGGAUUUAUGUGAGAAAUCAAGGAGCCAUCCAUUGAAGAUCCAAGGGUGGACAUUGAGUGGCCAAGGCUAUAAAUAGAAGGGUAAACCCCUCAUUUUCACUUACCACACUACAAGCAAACUCAAGAGCUUUCACUCCACAUUUGCCCACACGUUUUUGCCUCCAAACUUUCAAGUGCCCAAGUGUCCUAGCUUUCCAAAGCUUCAAAAGCUCUCCAACUUCUUCUUCUAAUCUUCUUGUUCAUCUUUACAAGUAAGAAGUGUUGUUUGUUUUAAUAUUCCACUCCUCUAAUCACCUCUUGUGUGUGUCCACUUUGGUUGAGAGGGUUGUCUCAAUAGUACCAAAGUGUGAAAGAAGGUUUUUGAGCUCAACCAUAAAGCUCUAGUUUGGUUUUAUAGAGUUUCCGGGAAAACUCUUAAGUCGAGUCUACCUUGAAAGAUUUCAGAGGUUUUUAAGAGUUCCUUGAUACUCUAAGGUACUAACUUACCCGCAAAAGUUAGAGGUUCUUAAGAGUGCCCUUGAUACUCUAAGGUGUGAGUCUACCCGUAAAAGACUGGUUCCUAAACAAAGUAGUCUUAAAGCUUAAAGAGGUUUUUAAGAGUUCCUUGAUACUCUAAGGUACUAACUUACCCGCAAAAGUUAGAGGUUCUUAAGAGUGCCCUUGAUACUCUAAGGUGUGAGAAUACCCGUAAAAGACUGGUUCCUAAGCGAAGUAGCCUUAAAGUUUAAAGAGGUUCUUAAGAGUUUCCUUGAUACUCUAAGGUUUUGUCAUAACCUUUAGGCGAGUGAAUUCCAGCAGUUGGUCGAGACUGGACUAGCCAUUGUUUGGGUGAACCAGUAUAAAUCUCUUGUGUUGUUCGUUGUUCUCUGUUAAUUAUAGUUUUAUCUCUUAUCUAAAAACAACACUUAAUUAAAAAGGAUCCCUCUUCCAGUUAUCUGCUCAAGUACAGAGGUUGACUACUUUACGCAGAUCCCUCAUCCAGUUAUCUGGUCAACCAUCUGAAGUUAUAUUCAUUGUUUUAAAUCCUUAUAUUUGUUCAAGUAUUACUUAUCAUAUAUAUCCAAUUAUCUGGUCAUUUAUUUGUUUAUCAAUAUAUCUAGUUAUCUGGUCAUUUACUCUAUAAUAUAAUUUGUGUUUACAAUAUAACUUAGUAUUCAUAUACUAUAGUUGUGUGUAAAAAACUAUCAAGCAAGUUGACUCAGUAUUCAUAUACUGUGGUAAGCUUCGAAGAGUAAUAAUUACAUUAUUAUAUCAAUCAAAGUUAUAAUAUCUUUAUAUCAUUAUUGUUCAACCAUUUGUUUAUUAAGCAUUUACAGGUAAUUCCGCAAUCAACCUGUAUAAAUCGAAAAGAGACUAUUAUCCCCCUUAUAGCCUCGGAUCUCGAUCCAACAAAAAUUAGAUUUAAUCAACAAAAUAAUCUAAAAUACAAUCUAAAACUUAUAUAAUCAUACCAUCAUAAAUUUCGAUAAUCAUACAAACUUAUAUAUAUUGAUUUUAAUAAAAGAAAAAUGAAUAAAUAGGGCUCAUCGGAUUAAGGUUUUGAACAUAUAUUAUUUAGAAUACAGAAUGAAUAAUCAGAAAUUAAGAAUAAGUUUAAAUCAGAAGUAAGAAUAAAAAAUUUAUGUAUUAGAAUAAAGAAAUUAAAAAUAAGAUUGCAGCAAAAAUUAAAAAUAAUAUCAGAAAUUAAAAAUAAGAAAUUUUUGUAUUAGAAUACAGAAAUUAAGGCUAAGAUUAAUUCUCCUAACUCAUAACUACCUAAAGCGUUGAAAACUAACCAAAAUGAAUGAUCAGGAGAUUGCUUUAAUUGAAUACAACACAAUAAGAAGAAGAAUUAAGAAGAAAAAUAGAUGAUUGUGGAAUGAUUCUGAAUAAGACCAAAAAAAAUGAUUGAUUAAUAACACCAACCGCCAUGAAUAGAUGAUUGAAAAAAGAUAGACUAUUUACCUACCACUGAAUUGGUUUUAAACACUGAAUUGGUUUCAUUCUAGGGUAACAUACAAAGCAGUAACCUACUAUUGGUUUCAUUCUAAAGGGAAGUAUGAAAUUGAACUCACAAAGUCUAAAUUUCAGAAGAGAGAUUGAACUCACAAAGUUCUUCUCCGGAUCUGAAAUCCAGACUUCUCCUUCAUCAGCACUUCCCCUGGAUUUCAGAACUAUUUAAGUCUAGAAUGAACUCACAAAGUUUGGAUUUCAGUAUGAAUGAUCAGGAGAUUUAUUUAAUUGAAUAUAAUACAACACAAUAAUAAGAAGAAGAAAAACAGAAUUAACCUCUAGAAACCUCAGAACCUCUAGAAAAGAACCCAACGACGGAACGAUUCUGGAAACUUCUGGAACCUCUAGAAACCUUGUAACCUCGGAACCUCUAGAACGAUUCUGGAAACCCAACGACGGUUUGCACGUGAGAAUCAGGGUUUAAGAAGAUUGUGAAAUAAGAUUGAAAAUCAGGGGGUUUGCGCGCAAGAAGAUUGAGAAGAAAUAAGAAUCAAGGUUUACGAUUUGGGUG
rnacentral:lncRNA from 1 species